rnacentral:rRNA from 1 species
UACGGAGGGGGCUAGCGUUGUUCGGAAUUACUGGGCGUAAAGCGCGCGUAGGCGGAUCAGGAAGUUGGGGGUGAAAUCCCGGGGCUCAACCCCGGAAUGGCCUUCAAGACUCCUGGUCUUGAGUUCGAGAGAGGUGAGUGGAAUUCCGAGUGUAGAGGUGAAAUUCGUAGAUAUCGGAAGGAACAUCAGUGGCGAAAGCGACUUCCUGGACCAAUACUGACGCUCAUGUGCGAAAGCGUGGGGAGCAAACAGG